CGUGUAGGCGGUUUGGUAAGUCGGUUGUGAAAUCCCUUGGCUUAACCAAGGAACUGCAUCCGAAACUGUUAAACUAGAGUAUCGGAGGGGGUGGCGGAAUUCCCGGUGUAGAGGUGAAAUUCGUAGAUAUCGGGAGGAACACCUGUGGCGAAGGCGGCCACCUGGAAGAUUACUGACGCUGAGACGCGAAAGCGUGGGGAGCAAACA
rnacentral:rRNA from 1 species